GUGAGCACCAUCCGGGAGCGACCCAAUAUCUUAUCCUCACGGGCGCCGCUCCUCCUGAUGGUCUCUUCUGGGCAACCUCUGAUAUGGUGGCGCGAGACGUGGAGGAGCCCAAAUUUGUUGGAGCACGUCGAGGCGCAAGGCGUGGUGGAGUCCCUACCUCUCCCCAGAUAUUUCUCAUACAUGUACAUGUGCCUGAGGAUUUGAGACCCCAACAGAAGAUUGCCAAUAUCUACUUCAAUGCUGCUCUGGCCGACGACUGGCACGGGCUCGAGAGAUACGACCUGGUGCCCUACCACGCCGCGCACGCGCAGAAACAGUGGCGGCUUCGAGCAGCAGCCGGAAAGAGUGUUGAGGAAUCUCUGGCCAACAAGCAAUCCAGGAGGAUAUAUGAACUAUCAUCCACACAAUCUGGAUCGACAUAGUAGGAAGAUGAAUCGGUGCCUCGAGAGCUACCUUAAGAUGCAGGAUGUGCACACGGUCAUCUUCUUUCUUUUUUGCCCAACCCCAAGCAUUACUUAAGAGUUUCUUCUGUUACAAGUGUUUGUUUUCCACCAUAAUUAUGUGAGUUGAUUGGUCGGCAUUAUACGAAUUGGUUCAUGGUUUGCCCUCUUUGGAAAACACAAAGCUUGCUCCUCAUUAUACUACUGUAUGCCUUGCCAUGUGUUGAAAUUUCUCGGUACACUAUGGUUUAGGAUAACUUUCUGCUUAUAUUCUGAUGCUUUACCUACAGCCAACUGUUUCUACUCGAAGUCCUUUGUGGUUGAUGAGAUUCUAGAUGAUGUGCUUUCUGAUUAGGUGUUACUGAGGGAACAUGAUGAAAGGAUGUGCGCCAACUAAUCAUAUAGAUCAAUUCAAGGCACGGCUAAAAGAAGGUUCAGCUUACACCUUAGAACAUUCAUCGUUGCUGAUGUGCGGAAUAAAUACAGAGUAGCGGAUCAUCCUUACAGAAUCAAAAUUACUCAGUGCUCAAAAGUUCAGGAAAUCAUUCCACAACCUGUUAACCUUCCUCUAUUUUCAUAUAAUGCAACACGUGCAGUCGACAAUAGUCCUGUCAGCAAGCAGUAAGAUACCAUCUGCAUCAUCAGACCAACCUGUUCCAACUACUCGAGACAGAGAUGAAGCACUGUCGAUGUUGUUUUUCGUUGUUAUUUUCUUUCAGAUUUCUACUAGAAGCAUUAACUUCCCUGCUCAUUCUUCCGUUGGAGUUCCUCACAGCAAUAGGCUUAGAAUAGCAGAUACUGAAGUGCACAUACUGCUGGUCAUCCUCGCUGAGCUCUGUUACAAUUCAUUUCUUAGAGUUUGGUGUUUGCUGAACAUAUGCGGUGCUUGGUGAGGUGUAGGUGUGUUGGUUCGCAUGUGUUCUUUUCUUUUUUCCUCUUGUACAUUCUGCAUA